rnacentral:rRNA from 1 species
UGGGGAAUAUUGGACAAUGGGCGCAAGCCUGAUCCAGCAAUGCCGCGUGAGUGAUGAAGGCCUUAGGGUUGUAAAGCUCUUUCGCACGCGACGAUGAUGACGGUAGCGUGAGAAGAAGCCCCGGCUAACUUCGUGCCAGCAGCCGCGGUAAUACGAAGGGGGCUAGCGUUGUUCGGAAUUACUGGGCGUAAAGGGCGCGUAGGCGGCCUGUUUAGUCAGAAGUGAAAGCCCCGGGCUCAACCUGGGAAUAGCUUUUGAUACUGGCAGGCUUGAGUUCCGGAGAGGAUGGUGGAAUUCCCAGUGUAGAGGUGAAAUUCGUAGAUAUUGGGAAGAACACCGGUGGCGAAGGCGGCCAUCUGGACGGACACUGACGCUGAGGCGCGAAAGCGUGGGGAGCAAACAGGAUUAGAUACCCUGGUAGUCCACGCCCGUAAACGAUGAAUGCUAGACGUCGGGGUGCAUGCACUUCGGUGUCGCCGCUAACGCAUUAAGCAUUCCGCCUGGGGGAGUACGGCCGCAAGGUUAAAACUUAAAGGAAUUGACGGGGUCAUAGCUGUUUCCU